rnacentral:rRNA from 2 species
CUUGCUCCCGGAUGUUAGCGGCGGACGGGUGAGUAACACGUGGGUAACCUGCCUGUAAGACUGGGAUAACUCCGGGAAACCGGAGCUAAUACCGGAUAGUUCCUUGAACCGCAUGGUUCAAGGAUGAAAGACGGUUUCGGCUGUCACUUACAGAUGGACCCGCGGCGCAUUAGCUAGUUGGUGGGGUAAUGGCUCACCAAGGCGACGAUGCGUAGCCGACCUGAGAGGGUGAUCGGCCACACUGGGACUGAGACACGGCCCAGACUCCUACGGGAGGCAGCAGUAGGGAAUCUUCCGCAAUGGACGAAAGUCUGACGGAGCAACGCCGCGUGAGUGAUGAAGGUUUUCGGAUCGUAAAGCUCUGUUGUUAGGGAAGAACAAGUGCGAGAGUAACUGCUCGCACCUUGACGGUACCUAACCAGAAAGCCACGGCUAACUACGUGCCAGCAGCCGCGGUAAUACGUAGGUGGCAAGCGUUGUCCGGAAUUAUUGGGCGUAAAGGGCUCGCAGGCGGUUUCUUAAGUCUGAUGUGAAAGCCCCCGGCUCAACCGGGGAGGGUCAUUGGAAACUGGGAAACUUGAGUGCAGAAGAGGAGAGUGGAAUUCCACGUGUAGCGGUGAAAUGCGUAGAGAUGUGGAGGAACACCAGUGGCGAAGGCGA